AUGCUUGCAAGACAAGCAUGGAGGUUUCUCCACAACCCAAAUGCCCUUUGUGCCCGAGUAUUAUCUGCGAAAUACUACCCAGAUGGGCAAAUCUUAAAUGCAAAGCUUGCAAGGGGAAUGUCAUAUACAUGGAGGAGCAUAUUAAAAGGGAUAAAUUUGCUAAAUAAAGGCAUAAUAUGGAGAGUGGGGAAUGGCAAAUCUAUUAACAUAUGGAACGACCCAUGGAUCCCAAGAGGAAUAUCAAGAAGGAUCAUAUCAAGGAAGGGCAACAAUCUAAUCACGCACGUCGAGGAGCUCAUAAAUCCAGUAACUAACACUUGGGACCUAGACCUACUAAACCAAUCAAUGGUAGGCGAAGAUGUACAGGUUAUACUCAGGAUCCCAAUUCAUGAGCAGCUAGAUGACUUCCCAGCAUGGCACUAUGAUAAAAAAGGACUUUUUUCAGUCAAAUCUGCAUACAAAGUAGCACGGGAUUGUGAAGCACAUGAAUCUGUGAAAGGGCUACCUGAAUGCUCCAAUCCAGUGGGAAACACAUGUGGUUUUGAAUGGAAGAAACUAUGGUCACUCCCUCUGCCUAACAAGAUUCUGCAUUUCCUAUGGAGAGUGGCCACCAACAGUUUACCAUUGCGAAUGAAGCUGAAACAAAGAGGUAUGAAUAUUGAUACCAGGUGCCCACUUUGUUUUAGAUUAAAUGAAGAUGGAGGCCACAUUUUUUGCAAAUGCAAAUUAGUUAAACCAAUCUGGAGAGGACUUCAAAUGGAGGACACAAGAGAGUUAAUUGCUGGAUGCCCAAGCGGCCCAUCUCUCCUACAUGAAAUAUUCAAUCUAAACAAAGAAAAGAGGCUCACAGCUUGUUGUUUGCUCUGGAUCUGGUGGGCGGAAAGGAAUAAAGCAAACCGAGGAGAGAAACCAAAAACAUCAGAUGAGAUAAUUACCUCUGUCACAGUUCAUGUUUUGGAAUACAAGAACAUGCAGGUAAAGAAACUAAUACCAAGUAAUAAGAUGCAGCUGCAAUGGUCUCGACCGAUGCAUAAUUUUUUAAAGAUCAACGUAGAUGGGGCUUUUAGGGAACAAUCCUUUUCAGGUGGUUGGGGCUUUAUAGUCAGGAAUGAUCGAGGAGUAGCAGUGGCAGCUGGACAAGGUCAUCUUCAAGAAGUCGGCAAUGCUCUUCAAGCUGAAGCUCGAGCUCUUCUCCAAGCGGUGCAAAUCACCUCAUCAAUGGGGUGUAAUCAGGUGAUUCUAGAAAUAGAUUCGACUGUACUGAAGAAUGCUAUUACAUCAAGCGAGUAUGAUCUAGCGCCGCCAGGUGUUCUAUUUAGAGAAAUAAAAGCCAUGUUAUGUGUUAGAUUUGAAAACUUUAGAAUAUCUGUUGUACCAAGAUCAUGUAAUGUUGUAGCUCAUGAACUAGCUGCGCGUGGUGCUCUGUUAGGGGAUGACGAUCGUGAGGUCUGCAUUGGCCAUCUACCACAAUUUGUACUAAACCUGUGUGCUGGUGAUAUGCCGAGCACACCAGUUUAA
rnacentral:rRNA from 1 species